UUGUCCUUAAAAAAGUUACACUUCUCCAUCUUAAGAGUCAGUUUGGCUUCCUUUAAGCGAUCCAGAAUUUGUUCUAAGUUAUCUGCGUGAUUAGAAAAUAUAUCGCCCAGGAUAAUUAUGUCAUCAAGGUACACCUGAACCUUGUUGCUUAAUAGUCCUGUAUGGACAGUGCUUAUUAUUUUCUUGAAGCAGGACGGGGCUGUUUUAAGGCCAAAGGGGAGGGAAGUAAAUUCCCAAUGUCCUGCUGGAGAAGAAAAUGCCGUCUUCUCUCUGCUGAUUUCAUCUAGGGGGAUUUGAUGGUAACCCUGUUUCAUGUCUAGGCAUGAAAAAAAAAAAAUUACUAUCUCCCAAUUGAUUGAGUAUGGUAGUUAUAUUAGGGAGUGGGUACCGGUCGUCCCGUAGUGUUUUAUUAAGUGCCCGGAAGUCCAGACAAAGUCGUAGUACUCCAUCUUUUUGGGGCACUGUGAUAAGUGGGGCAUUAUAGGGUGAUCGCGAAGGGCGAAUCACACCCUGUAGCUAGAGCGAUAUAAGUUGUUCAUUUACUCUGUCAUGAUAACUGAUAUGAAUGUUAUAUGGACGCCUGUACACUACUUCAUCAGUGUUUUGCUUGAUGGUGCUUAAAAAAUAGGGCGUUACUGUUAAUGGUUCUUGUUCUGUGGAAAACACUGUUAUAUAUUUAUCUAUUAAGGACUUUAAAACCUAAUUCUCUCUCUUCACUUGGGAAUUUAGCGUCAACAAUUUGAUAGAGGCUUUUCUUCCUUACUUCAAGCUCUGCGGGCUUCAAGUCUGUUUUAGCUGUGUCAGCGGUCUGUACACUAGAUACUUGUGGCAGAUCAGCGUAUAGCUCAUGAGUGACAGGCUUCACAAAUCCUAACGUUGUAUUAUCAUCUAUCUUUACACUCACUUUCAAUAUUCAAAUACGGCACAGUGACGUAAGAUCUUUGAUUGUCAGAUGAAGGGGUUAACUUAACUAUCCCUGAGCACAAGACUCUAGCCUGAGGAGUACUAACACAAGGCUCAAAUAAAGCUUCACUUGCCUGUAGUUGCGUCACUAGCGUUAUGUAACCUGCAACAGAUGCAUGCAGUUGCAAAGGUUCCGCUGCUUGGCAACGUACGGCCUUAUUUUCAGUGAGACCUUCUUCAUUUCCAUCUACAUUUAGCUAAGAUCCUUCACCUCUAGAUAUAAGACAUUUUUCCAGGCAUAAUUGUAUGGUUUCGCCUUCUAUUAUCAGUUUUAAGCUUCGUUCUUUUGUUCCUCAUUUAGUUGCAAUGUUUUCAAAAUAAUCUCGUGCUACACUACAAAUCAGUACUCAACAUAAUAUGAGUCUGCAAAUCUACAUCGCGUGUUAUCAAUAAUUCUUGGAAACUACUUUUUCCUUCCAUAUUAACUUGUCUUUUACCGUCAUUUUCAAUAUGGUAUCUUUGCACAGAGACAAUAUUCACGGGUUUCGCUUCACAGUUAUUUACUGCGAGCCCUAAUUCUUUAAUAAAUUCAUCCGUUAAAAACUCACACACGCUCCUGUUUCUAGGAGCGCUGCCACUUUUGCAUAUGUGUUAUCAUGAGUAGUGCGAUCUGCCUAACAAAGUUACUCUUGAGUUAUGUUAAUUAUAGCCUUCUUGUCAUUAUUUUUAAGGUCACUCCCUUGUUUGUUAUAGCCUUCUUUUCCUUAUAUUUAUGUGAGGCGGUUACUCCCUUGUUCGUUAUAGCCUUCAUCUUAUUAUAUUAAAGGUUACUCCCUUGUUCGUUAUAGCCUUCAUCUUAUUAUAUUAAAGGUUACUCCCUUGUUCGUUAUAGCCUUCAUCUUAUUAUAUUAAAGGUUACUCCCUUGUUCGUUAUAGCCUUCAUCUUAUUAUAUUAAAGGUUACUCCCUGUUCGUUAUAGCCUUCAUCUUAUUAUAUUAAAGGUUACUCCCUGUUCGUUAUAGCCUUCAUCUUAUUAUAUUAAAGGUUACUCCCUUCUUCGUUAUAGCCUUCAUCUUAUUAUAUUAAAGGUUACUCCCUGUUUUGUUCUUCGCUCAUUUUCCGUUUUUUCCACUGCAAGUGUGCAUAUUUAUUUAUUUAUUUAUUAUUCAUUUAUUUAUUUAAUGUUAUUUGUAGUAGUUAACUGAGGGGGGCACUACCCUGGCCUCCUCUUCCUCUGAUUCUCUUACUUCACACAUUUAUCUUAAUACUUCACACUAUUGUCCAUAUGCUUCAUUUUUUUUUUUUUAUUCAUGACUUUUUAUCCAUACCUCACACUUUUCUUAGUAUUUCACAUUUUUUCUAGAUCAUACUCUACACUUCCUACCUGGGGGACGCGGGUUAGGCCUUUAUAAAGUCACUCUAUGGCUGCAUGCCCGCCGCGGCACACCACCACCCUGUGAGGCGUAGAGCCCCGUGCUCCCCUCCAUCCUGGGGUAACAAUCCUAAAACAAACAAACCUGGGAGGCGGGACGCUGCCGCUGCCUGUCACCUGACACCCUCUCACUGAUGAAUGGAUCGCGGCGCGGGUGGAGAGAGACUGCCCAUCCCUCUCCACUCCGCCCGGGAAGGAACUCAUGAAUUCUCGGUUGAGUCGCGUGUGCUACCCAUUGCACUACAGAACAACAGUGGUUGGCCAGAGUUUCCAUUACCAUAUCGUCAAAGUUCAUGUCCUCCGGAAGAACCAUUAAUUAUAUAAUUAAAUCGUCACUAUUAUUUCCGCCACUUAAAACGAGCAAAGCUUAAUGAAAAUAAGAGGCGUUUUCUCGUCAGAGUAAAUUAAACAAAAGCACUGUAAGCACAUGUCCCUAUUUAUCCCUAUACCGCUGCCACCAGUUUUAGACCCUUAAUUUCUUGUAUUAAAUCAACUCUUUUAUCACUCAUUAAUUACUCCAUAAAUGAUCUCACCGUCUCGUAUCCCUGGUAGCGUGAUCCGGCUUAAGUUGUUAUUGGAGACUGGUGUUCGGGGAUAAACAAGGGAAAAAGUAAAUAUACAUUUAUUUAAAAUUAAAUGAAAGUAAUUGCCUUACGCAAUAUUCUAUGCUCAGACGAUCAUAACACUGGCAUAUUCAGCAAUGGAUGCAACAUAUGACAAACGACAUGUCUUAAACAUAAUACUACAAUAUGUGCUCAGUUGUUGCCAAUAAUAAUAACACUCGUCGUUCCACAAGCAGUGGUUUGUGUCUCUCUGCUUACAUCACAAUCAUUAUGUACUCUCUUCACAAAAUCCUAAUAACACAUUCCUAUAGUAUAAUCUACUACAAGUCAUGGAAACACCCAAUUUUACCACACCCAGUGGUUUUACCUUUGCUUUACAUCGCAAACAAAUAAUCACAAUCCUGUCCCACUCACAAUCCUACUUCACAUCUCCUACAUUAUAAUCUCCAGGACAAUACAGUCGGUUUCCCUUAGAUUCUCGAAUUUCUACUCACGAUUGAGAUCACAACAGCCAUUCUCGGCUGAGUGAGUAGCAGGUCUGCUUGAGGCGAGAACCAAGCUCGGUCUACCCAUACCACUGAUUUCUAGGCCACAUUUUUCUUUGCUUUAGGCGGACUUACAUCCUUGACACGCCCUUAAUUCUUUACAUAACCAAUGGCCAAUACUCCCUGUCACACCCAUCUGCUCGCUCAUUAUGUUGUAUUGUUUUACUUCUCCUGCUAUUCGUGAGUCAGUCUUAAGACACUCUCUCAGUGAUUUUUCUGUUAAAUUAUUGGCUCAUAACAUGUCGCCACGACUGACGUCACGGGUCAGAGUCUUUUUCAAUGGUUGUUCACACUUUCUGACCAAGCCCACUGGGCAUCUGUUUUCUGUACCUGAGUCUGGGUAUCUGUUUUCCUUUACCCUCGUUGUUUCCCCUCUUUGGUAUUUGAGAUGCUUACACUUAUAUAUAUGUCACCCUUUUUGUUAGUGUUUGUCCUGUCAGAUGUUUACACAGUUGUAUACCUGCUUUUCCUCUCUGGGUAUCUGUUUUCCUUUACCCUCGUUGUUUCCCCUCUUUGGUAUUUGAGAUGCUUACACUGUUAUAUAUGUCACCCUUUUUGUUAGUGUUUGUCCUGUCAGAUGUUUACACAGUUGUAUAUCUCACUCCUCUGUUUCCUCGUUUUCCGGGUCCUGACAGGGCCACUAACACCCACACACCAACACAGUAAUAGAUGGGCCACUAACACCCACACACCAACACAGUAAUAGAUGGGCCACUAACAUCCACACAUCAACACAGUAAUAGAUGGGCCACUAACACCCACACACCAACACAGUAAUAGAUGGGCCACUAACAUCCACACAUCAACACAGUAAUAGAUGGGCCACUAACAUCCACACAUCAACACAGUAAUAGAUGGGCCACUAACACCCACACACCAACACAGUAAUAGAUGGGCCACUAACACACCCACCCACACAGUAAUAGAUGGGCCACUAACAUCCACACAUCAACACAGUAAUAGAUGGGCCACUAACACACACACCAACACAAUAAUAGAUGGGCCACUAACACACCCACCGACCCAGUAAUUAUUAUAGAUGGGCCACUAACACACACACCAACAAAGUAACAGAUUGGCCACUAACACCCACACCCACACAGUAAUAGAUGGGCCACUAACACCCACACACCCACACAGUAAUAGAUAUAGCUCUUCGUCUCAUCAGCUCUCCUCCUCUUACUGAUAGUCUUCUACCUCUCCAAUUCCGCAGCCAUGUUGCCUCCCUUUCUAUCUUCUAUCGAUAUUUUCACGCAGACUGCUCUUCUGAACUUGCUAACUGCAUGCCUCCCCCCCCCCCCCCUCAUGCGGCCCCGCCACACACGACUUUCUACUCAAGCUCAUCCAUCCCUUUACUGUCCAAAUUCCUUACGCACGAGUUAACCAGCAUCUUCACUCUUUCAUCCCUCACGCUGGUAAUCUCUGGAACGAUCUUCCUUCAUCUGUAUUUCCUCCUACCUACGACUUGAACUCAUUCAAGAGGAAGGUAUCAGGGCACCUCUUUUCCCGUAAUUAACAGCUCUUUCGGCCACCUCUUCGGAUUCUUUACAGGAGCAGCGAGUAGCGGGCUUAUUUUCUUUUUUUUUACUGUUGUUUCCUUUUUUUGUGCCCUUGUGCUGUUUCCUUUGCUGUAAAAAAAAUCGAUCUUUUCAAAAAGGCGUUUGAUUCAGCGCAUCGCGAGGUACUCUGGGAGCUCCUGCAACUCUGUGGGAUUCCCGCAACGACAAUGCAUCUACUGACUUGUAUGUAUUCUGGAACUGAAAGUGCUGUGAAGUGUGCGUGUGGGGUGUCCAACUCCUUUCCCGUGCACACGGGAGUAAGGCAGGGCUAUGUCCUUGCCCCAACACUUUUCAACACUUGCACGGAGUGGGUAUUAGGCAGUAUAGAGUGCGUAUUGGGAGUUAUAGAUCAAAGUCACCGUGCACAAUCUGUUGUCCAUACCAAGGUCAUUGACCUGGUUUUUGCCGAUGAUCCAGUAAUCCUUGCGGAGUCACUGUAGGUUCUUGCAAUGGCCAUCGAGGAACUGGACGAGGCGGUAGCCCGUGGGACUUUAGGUCUCCUGGGCCAAGACCAUGGUACAGGUCUUUGGAGACUUACUAGAUGAAACUAUAUUCUGUGGGGCGAGGACAUUGGCAUCUUGGAAAAUUUCACAUACCUUGGCAGCGUAGUGCAGAACAACGGCAGGUCAGACAGGAUUAUGUUGAUGGCUGGGAGAGGACUGUGUUGCACAUAUAAGGUAGAGAGAGGUGGCAGGGCACGGCAGGCAAACAUACAAGUCCAUGCGCUCGCAAAUCUUUGAAAAAAAUGUCGCGCCAGCUCUGCUAUACUUAGCAGAUAAUUUGAAGUGAUCGUGGCUAUCAUUAUAUAUAUAUAUAUAUAUAUAUAUAUAUAUAUAUAUAUAUAUAUAUAUAUAUAUAUAUAUAUAUAUAUAUAUAUAUAUAUAUAUAUAUAUAUAUUAAUUCUUUGAGAAUCAUUACUGUAUUCUUGGACUGAUCUGAUAGCUGCUGUUUAAAUUAACUUUAAUUAAACGUGGUAUAAACAUUUAUUAGCCAUUCUUCUAUGCAUUCCUGCUUAUAUUCUAUCACUGUAGUUACUCUCCACAUGGGAAAAAACAUUCACACGUAUAAAAGUGUAAGCGUAAUCAUGUGGUACAAAACCAACUGCAUAUCUACAAGAAUUAGAAUGUUCUUUUAUCACUCAAAGAAUGCUAUUAUUAGAUCAUAUAAUUGGCUUUAUAAUACAGGCCCGACACUGCCGUGCAAUAACUUACAUAAUUCAUACGGCGCCGAGGAGUGGGUCGUGGCUUUCCGAGAUGCCGGGAAAGAUCAGUCUGUAGCACAAUGAUUUCAUUCUUAUCGUUCUCU